UACGUAGGGAGCGAGCGUUGUCCGGAAUUAUUGGGCGUAAAGAGCUCGUAGGCGGUUUUGUUGCGUCGGCUGUGAAAUCCCGAGGCUCAACCUCGGGUCUGCAGUCGAUACGAGCAAACUAGAGUGUUGCAGGGGAGACUGGAAUUCCUGGUGUAGCGGUGAAAUGCGCAGAUAUCAGGAGGAACACCGGUGGCGAAGGCGGGUCUCUGGGCAGUAACUGACGCUGAGGAGCGAAAGCGUGGGGAGCGAACAGG
rnacentral:rRNA from 1 species